AUGGUUAAUGCAACACAGAAUCUAGAAAUAAAUGACAAUGAAUGUCACUUGCCUGGGUUACUGUACAGAAAUUUCAUUUUCCAAUGGUGUUUACUUCUGGCUAAAAAGGGAUUAAAACUCUGCUACCAGGGAUUACUGCAUCUCCAAAGGGAGGGAAACAACAGAAGUCACUCUCUUUUCAAGAACAAGCUGUUUGAUACAGUUUCACUGGUUUCUUCUAUCUAUCUAUGGCCAAGGAUGAUAAAGCACAUAACGGAUAGUUUACAUCAGAAAGUAGGAAUUAAAUAUUCCAUGCUCCUGGUUUUGCAUGGGAUUAUUCUUUGGGGAUUUCAGCUGAUUGCCUUUAAAUGUACAACUUAAGUUAUUUUAACUUUUAUGAGUGAUUUUAAAUACUUAUGUAACUAUGUCAGAGAGGAUAGAAAAUAGACCAAGAACUGGAGAAAGGCUUAUGCAUCUCUUAUGCUUACUUCCCAGCACAUAAUCAAAAAACCAACAGCUAUUACUUUUCCUUGGGGUUACGCCACUUUAGCUGGUUUAUUUUAAUCACUCAUAACCAGCUCAAAUUUCUUUUUCUCUUCUAAGUGGCAAGGUACUGCAAUUUUCAAUUGCACAAGAGAACAAAAUUAGAAUGUUUCAACAAUAAGCAAUAUUUAUCAAGUCACUUUUUCUUUUCCCUCUUUUCCAGACUGAACUUUGGUUCGCACCCAUAACAUUUAUUUAGCUUCAAAUACUGCCUGAUGUUAUCAUGUGUAGUGGGUUGAACCUGAGUUGAUGGACAGUCUUUUAGACUAAUGACGCUUCUCACAAUUUACAUAUUUAAACCAUGCAGAAAGGUGAGAAUUUAUUUUUGUUUCAGAACGAAAGGUGAGGGAAGGUGGGGGGGCCUCUGAGCCUCUGGGCCCCACCGAGCCGGGCCGGGGCACCCUUUCCCAAUGCCGCGGUAUGGACCCUGGGUCGCUGGGGGGGGAAUAUCCCAGAGCCACAGGCAGCUAAAACCAGCCAUGGACUGCCACACAGCUCAAACCAGCCAUGAACUGCCACACAGCUCAAACCAGCCAUGGGCUGCCACACAGCUAAACCCAUCCAGCAUGGCUUCUUGGGACUGGCGGGUCCUUCUCCUCUCCACGCGGAGCCAGCGGGAGCUGGCGGAGCCUCCUGUCUGCAGCCAGCACACUUCGUGCUGAACUGAAGAAGACACCACGCAGCCAGCAGCACAGAGGGACGAGGCUUUCUCCACCGUAAACCCCGAACAAGAACACCCUUCAACAUGGUGGCUUCAGAGUCAGAGAGAAAGAGAAAGUGAGUCACGUGGGACGGAGCUGGAAAUGGUGAUGAGAGAAAAGAGGGCGGUGCCGCAAUUCUCGUGUGUAGCUUAAAAAAAACUUCUUGCAUACUGUGGUAAGAAACUGUAAUACCACAAACUGUUUGUCUCUUUAAUCCAUUUGGAAUGCAUGGGGAGGGUGGAGAAUUCACGUGUGGCCCAUGAAGAUUGUGAAGAGUGCCUAUGCCAGGCUAUACAGAAGCAGUGAGAGGUUACUUUUUUUUUUAGAGAUUUAUGGUGAAGAAAGCCUUUGUGUUCAGGCAAAAAUAACUCAUCCUUAAAAAAGAUUAAUAACCCCAUGUGAUGGCCCAUGUUUUGCAGUGGGAAGGAACUGUGAGAUUUUGCAUGGGAGAGAUGUUUUACACCACAGCAGAUUGGUUCUUUCCGGGCGGGUCUGCUGUUGGUGGCAGUUUGGGAACCGCGUGAAGCAGAAGAAAACCCCUUUUUCCUUAAGCAUAAGAAAGAGACUUUUCAAGAGCUGCAACACUGACUAAAACCCCAUGUUCUUUUACUCUUUGUGCGAGUUGGGUAAAAGGAGGGAAGUGCUGGAAGAGGGGGGUGGUUUGCUUUAAUUUCUUAUUAUUUCUUUUCACUUUUAAUUCUGUUAGUAAUAAACUUUUUCUUUGUACAGCAACUGUUUAAGUUUGAACCUGUUUUGCCUUGCAGCUCUCUAGUUUUCCUCAAUAUUUUCUUAUUUUCCCCUUAUGAAAAUAACAGAUUUCGUGUGCUUGACACUUAGCUGCAUCAUCAUGCAAUACUAAGGCUUAUAAGAAUCUACACAUAUAAACAAGGAAUGAUACUGGAGAUUAUGCUUCCAUAAGAUGGCAUCUAAUGGCAUCUAAUAGCUAUUGUUUAAUUGUGAAGAAAGCAGCAAUCUUUGAAGCUGUUUUAUUACUUGAGAUUAUUAAUUUUGACCCUGUACCUGUAAUAUUUCCCUGCAGCCAUAUUUUCAGAUGUUUUUACAGAUUAUUAUAAGAGAAAAGAACUCAGUUUUUAGGGGGAAUGCCACCUUUGUCCAUUAAAGCCAAAAGGAAAAAAAAAUUAAUUAAAAAUCUCUCCCCAAAUUUCUCUCCUUGCCAAAAGGACAGCAUGACAUAGCAUGAAUAAAUUCUUAACUGAGCUAUAUUCUGCCAAUAAAAUUCCAAUUUCAUGGAGACUGAAGCAAAAAGACAUCAAAGCUAAGGUUGUAGCUCAUUUGUUUUGUCAAGAAGUGGUUGAAAGUGCUUAAGAUAUCUUUGAAUUGCAAUCAAUGUCCUUUUCUCUUACAAAUACACUGCUUUUUUUUUCUUGUGGUUACAACUAUUUGGUCAUUAAUUGAUUUUUUCAAAGCUUGGUUAAUUAUAAUUUGCCUGCAAAUGUAGCAAGUUUAGACUAAGAUAAAGAGAGGGUCUUCAGUUAAACAGGAGUAAACAGAAGAAAAAUGGCUUUUUGGAAAAGGGGUGUGCUUAUUAUCAGAAGAAGGGGUCUAGAAAGAGAAAAAGAAAUAAAGGAAAUUCCCAGUUCAUGUUUAAAAUUUUUAUGAGUCAGGCCUUCCUCUUCAGAGUUGGAACUCUGAGCAAACACACACACACACACACACACACACACACAGAGUCUCCUUAUUAAUCCAAUCUGGUUUUUCACCAAUUAGUGAUAGAAAGGACACUCUUAGGAGGAAAUCCACUUUUUUUGUUGUUCAAUUUUGCAAUUUGUUCUUCCCUAUUAAUUGUAUUUAGAGCAGAUAUAUACUUGUCCAUUCCCUUCUCAGGC
ensembl:lncRNA